rnacentral:rRNA from 1 species
GGCGGAGCUACACAUGCAGUCGAGCGGAUGAGGGAAGCUUGCUUCCCGAUUUAGCGGCGGACGGGUGAGUAAUGCCUAGGAAUCUGCCUAUUAGUGGGGGAUAACGUUCCGAAAGGAACGCUAAUACCGCAUACGUCCUACGGGAGAAAGUGGGGGAUCUUCGGACCUCACGCUAAUAGAUGAGCCUAGGUCGGAUUAGCUAGUUGGUGGGGUAACGGCUCACCAAGGCGACGAUCCGUAGCUGGUCUGAGAGGAUGAUCAGCCACACUGGAACUGAGACACGGUCCAGACUCCUACGGGAGGCAGCAGUGGGGAAUAUUGGACAAUGGGCGAAAGCCUGAUCCAGCCAUGCCGCGUGUGUGAAGAAGGUCUUCGGAUUGUAAAGCACUUUAAGUUGGGAGGAAGG